rnacentral:rRNA from 1 species
CAGUAGCCGCGGGAAUACAGAGGGUGCGAGCGUUAAUCGGAUUUACUGGGCGUAAAGCGUGCGUAGGCGGCUUUUUAAGUCGGAUGUGAAAUCCCUGAGCUUAACUUAGGAAUUGCAUUCGAUACUGGGAAGCUAGAGUAUGGGAGAGGAUGGUAGAAUUCCAGGUGUAGCGGUGAAAUGAGUAGAGAUCUGGAGGAAUACCGAUGGCGAAGGCAGCCAUCUGGCCUAAUACUGACGCUGAGGUACGAAAGCAUGGGGAGCAAACAGGAUUAGAUACCCCUGUAGUCCCUGUCUCUUAUAC